GAUGAACGCUAGCUACAGGCUUAACACAUGCAAGUCGAGGGGAAACGAUAUUGGAAGCUUGCUUCCGAUAGGCGUCGACCGGCGCACGGGUGAGUAACGCGUAUCCAACCUGCCCAUCACUUGGGGAUAACCUUGCGAAAGUAAGACUAAUACCCAAUGAUAUUUAUAGAAGGCAUCCGAAAUGAAUUAAAGAUUUAUCGGUGAUGGAUGGGGAUGCGUCUGAUUAGCUUGUUGGCGGGGUAACGGCCCACCAAGGCGACGAUCAGUAGGGGUUCUGAGAGGAAGGUCCCCCACAUUGGAACUGAGACACGGUCCAAACUCCUACGGGAGGCAGCAGUGAGGAAUAUUGGUCAAUGGGCGAGAGCCUGAACCAGCCAAGUAGCGUGCAGGAUGACGGCCCUAUGGGUUGUAAACUGCUUUUAUAAGGGAAUAAAGUGAGUCUCGUGAGACUUUUUGCAUGUACCUUAUGAAUAAGGACCGGCUAAUUCCGUGCCAGCCGCCGCAGUAA
rnacentral:rRNA from 1 species